UAGGGAAUCUUCCACAAUGGACGAAAGUCUGAUGGAGCAAUGCCGCGUGAGUGAAGAAGGUUUUCGGAUCGUAAAACUCUGUUGUUGAAGAAGAACAUAUGUGAGAGUAACUGUUCACGUACUGACGGUAUUCAACCAGAAAGCCACGGCUAACUACG
rnacentral:rRNA from 1 species